AGGACAUUAUAUGAGAUAGGAUCACUAUAGUAGUAGUUAUAGUAUUUGAAUUGCUCAUCAGUCAUUUAGGAGGGUUGCUGCUGGGAUUUGGCAGCCUUCCAUAUCCCAUAAAAAAAUAUCAUUUGAGGGAGGGUUAGAGAAAAAAAAAGAUGAAACAAAAGUCCACAUCAGUAGCAUAAGAUCAGUAUGGAGGGUUACUAAAAAAAUCCUAUGGACUAGCAUUAACCUUGGCUUUAUUUUCUCUACCUCCCCCUACCCCUAUAUGCCUCUGCACUCCCUCUUCCUUUAUAUAGUAUCUUCUU
rnacentral:lncRNA from 1 species